UACAGAGGGUGCGAGCGUUGUUCGGAAUUACUGGGCGUAAAGCGCGUGUAGGCGGUUCGAUAAGUCAGAUGUGAAAUCCCGGGGCCUAACUCCGGAAGUGCAUUUGAAACUGUCGAGCUGGAGUGAUGUAGAGGAUGGCGGAAUACCCAGUGUAGAGGUGAAAUUCGUAGAGAUUGGGUAGAACACCGGUGGCGAAGGCGGCCAUCUGGGCAUUAACUGACGCUGAGACGCGAAAGCGUGGGGAGCAAACAGG
rnacentral:rRNA from 1 species